rnacentral:lncRNA from 1 species
UAUUAGAAGAUAAGAAAAAUGAGGAGUUUGACUAGCAAGACCAAAACUUGAGGGAAAAACAUAGAAUGCCAAAACUCUCUAUAAAUACCAUGCCUUCUCUCUCAUUGCUUCAUUUUACCAACAUAAGUAAGAUAAAGAGAGAGAGAGAGAGAGAAAAGAGGGAGAGCUUGGUACCCUUGGAGGAGAAAAAAGAGGAAAAAAAAUCUAAGAACCAAGAAGAAGAAGAAAGAAGCAAUACUAUCUACUUUCUUACUUCCACCAAGACAAUUAACAAACAAAGAAAGAGAGAGAGCUUGAAAGGGGGAGGCCGGCAGCUACAAGGAGGAGAAGGAGGAGAGAUCCAAGCCAAGUGUGAAGCAAGAAGAAGCUAGAUCAAGAAAAAGAAGAAAGUAAAGCAAGCACUCUGAGAGGUAAACCUAAAACCCCCACUUUUGUACCUCUAUUUCAUCUUAAAACCAUUUCUUUUUCUUUUGUUAGAUCCAUGGAACCUAGGAGAUAUUAUGCUUGUUUAAACCUAAACACGUUGGAUCUUGGUGGUAUAUACCUUAGAUCACAGAAAAACUUUGAAGGAACUAAGAAAAACCAAGAAGGAAACUUAAACUAGAUUAUGUCAAAAACUCAAAAUCUGAGACUGAAAUUGUAACAUGCAUAACUUAUAAUGUAUUUCGAAUUUUUGCACGAGAUUUGUUGUAGAUGAUAGCUCUCUAAGUUAGCUACAGUUUAGUGGUGGUUUGAGACUUAAAUUAUUUAUGGUGAAUAUUCUACCAAAACAGGACAGACUGAUUAACCCCCUGACCUAAUUUUUGUAUGAACUGUUUUGGGUUGUUAACUUGCUUGAAAAAUUCUGGACUUUUGGCGUGUAAUACUCAAUGACCUAAGGUAGAUCCUGUCCAAAGAUGAGCAAAAAUGAACUCGUAAUGAAAGAGUCAUGACCUAAACAAAAUUAAGAAUUUUAAAAUUAAAACUAAUAUAACUUGAUCAGAUUGGAAUGAAAUUUGGGGUGGAAGUACAUUUUGAUGCAGAGAGAAUAUUGUCCAAAAUUCGUGAUUUUUGGACAUAAUUUCGAAUUUUAAUGAAUUUUGCAAUUUUGGACAGAAACUGGUCUGAAAUAAAUAUUAAAGAUGUUGGGGGGAAAUCUGAAAAAAUAAAAAAUGAUCUAAAAUGUAAUUACUUAGGUGGGGUCAGAAGGAGGGAAAACAAUAAAAUGGUUACGAUGAGUUAAUAGAGAAAAUGGAGAAAAUAAAGCCUACGAAUUUAUGAAAAAUUCAUUAACGUAAAACGAAAAAUGUGUAAUAUAUUUCUACUGGUUAAUUUGUGUUAAAACAGAAUGUAUAAGGUUGUAUGAGUGAGAAAUGAACGUUAUGAAGAUGAAAAAUUAUAUUAAAAUAAUGACAUAACAGAAUGUCUGAGAAUGAGUUUAAGAUAAAUGAAAUUACCGAAACGGGGUUAUGAAUAGUUACCGACGGUAACUAUUAAAAAUGUUAGAUGAAUUGAUAAAGUAAAUCCUUAUGGAUGGUGUAGGUUAUUAUUUGGAAACAGAGAAUAACUUAGACGAAGAAAGUACGCUUUGAACAUGAAAGUUCCCGUAUUUAUGUGCAUUUACAAUUUGUUCUUUAUCGAACUGUAUUUUGUUCUUUAAAGUUCUUGUUGUAUCUUGAACUGUUUUAUGAUGAGUUUGUGUCAUUUGUUCGGCUGGACUCAGUUAACAUGAUUCUAUCAAUUAUGGAUAGGGGCGUAAACGAGUCGAAUCUCAAUGAACACCUUCAUGCUCAGAUUCGGUUUGACUCGAAAAAUUGAGCUCGAAUUCGACUCGGAUUCGACAAGGGAUAUAUAUUUUUGCGCCAGAUUCGACUCGGAUCAUUACUCGGACCUACGAGUCGAGACUCGUUUACAAAGCGAGUUACUCAUGAGCCUUCAAAUCGAGUUUCGAAUAUGAAUCAUUUCACUUAAAACUAAACCACUACAUACUAAAUUGGUUACUUAACUAAUAUUUAUAUAUAAAACUUUUUCACUUUUAUUUAUGUAUUGAAAUUAUAAAGAAUAUAAUAUAAAUUGACAUUCAAUUAAUUAACUUAUUCAAGUACAAGUUUACACAAUUUCAUACUACACUUUAUAAAUUAUAAAUAUUGAUACAAAUAUCACAUAUUUAGCUUACUAGCAUGGAUCAAACCAAUAUUCAAAUAUGAUCCAUCGAACAUGUAUCGGGUAUGGUUCAAGAAAAAAUGAAAUAUUCAAACCCUAAUAUAAGCGAACACUGGUAUGCUCGAAUUCGACUCGUGUAUCAUUAAACAGAAAACGAGUAUGGAUUAGAUUCGACUCGGAUUAACUUCGAAUUCGAGCUUUGGAUCAUAUUUUCGAGCCGAUCUCGAGUCGAGUACCGAACUACUUGACUCGGCUUACACUCCUAAUUAUGGAAUUGUUCAUAAUUCUUUGAAGAUAUAUGAAUAUAAUAUAAUUCAAAUUAUUUUGGUGCGGAAUCUGAUGUUAUGACCGAGUAGAACCCUAGAAAUAGGGGAUAUUGUGAUGUUGUCAGGUAACCGACAUACACUGUCAAAAUACAGUGUGGAGAUGAUGCUACGUGAAAUAUGGAGUAUUGUUUGGUUGAUCCCCUAAUGAUUCUCUGUGGAGAGUUCGCAGGCUUUGUGACUGUUGAACAUUAUUGGAGAGUUUCCAGUCCAAGACUGAUAAACAUUUAAGAUAAUUCAUAAUCCCUAUGACCAAUCAGUUGACUUUCAAUUACCCUUAAUAACGUAAUGAGUUUUGUGAUUCUAUAAGUUUAGAGAUUUCAAGUUCUGAGUCUUGUGGAGAUAUCUUUGUUGAUUCCCCCAUUGACAAAUGUUACACUUUCCUUUCUAAACUAUCAGUAUUUGCGUCAAUGAUAUCUAUUUUUAUGAUACUUUGAAUUGUUUAUACUUGCUGAGUAAAUUAGUUGUUCACUCUUGUGACUAUUGUGAGUCUCAUAUUUACAGCCAAGACAGAGGGACACGAGGGGUCAAGAACGAAAGACAAUGAAAAAUGCAAAGCAACCGAAGAAGAUUAGAAAUUAAGAUGUAUUAAUAAAUUUAAAUGAUAUAAUAUUUUGGGAAUGAUGUAAGGAUUAUAUAAUGGUGAUUGUAAUUAAGACCUGGAUUUGUGUGACUAAAUUAUGUAAUUAACGUAAUGUUUAUGCAACUUAUUUAUAUUAUAAAUUAGUUAUUAUGGUUGUGGUUAGAUAGUGAGUACCAAAUUUGCGGUAUCGAGUAAUCAGAUUUGGGGGUGUCACUUGCUAGCCCUGUGAUCAGCCUAGCCCUCAGUAAAUCCCCAAUCAGUCUGGCUCUAAAAGUUAAUUAAAAAAGCAAAACAGACAUUCUCCCUAGUAAGUGGAGACCAACAACUUAAAGUCCACUAUUUAUUUUCAGUUCUACCUCUCUCAUUUAAAUUUAGCUGUUAUCACUAUCUGUGUUUUUAUAUUUUUAUAUUUUCUUUUUCUGCAUAUCUGAUUAGUUCUGAUAAUCUCUA